rnacentral:rRNA from 1 species
CGAAAGCCUGACGGAGCAAGACCGCGUGAGGGAAGAAAGCCUUUGGGUUGUAAACCUCUUUUCUCAGGGAAGAAACCUGACGGUACCUGAGGAAUCAGCCUCGGCUAACUCCGUGCCAGCAGCCGCGGUAAUACGGAGGAGGCAAGCGUUAUCCGGAAUUAUUGGGCGUAAAGCGUCCGCAGGUGGCGAUUCAAGUCUGCUGUCAAAGCACGGGGCUUAACUCCGUUAAGGCAGUGGAAACUUAAUGGCUAGAGUGCCGUAGGGGUAGAGGGAAUGCCCGGUGUAGCGGUGAAAUGCGUAGAGAUUGGGAAGAACACCGGUGGCGAAAGCGCUCUACUGGACCACACCUGACACUCAGAGGACGAAAGCUAGGGGAGCG